ensembl:misc_RNA Metazoa_SRP Metazoan signal recognition particle RNA
GCCGGGCAUGGUGGCUCAUGCCUGUAAUCCCAGCAUUUUGGGAGGCUGAGACGGGUGGAUCAUCUGAGGUCAGGAGUUCAAGACCAGCCUGGCCAACAUGAUGAAACCCCAUCUCUA